rnacentral:lncRNA from 1 species
UGUGUUUGUAAUCACAAAGAGAAUGUGAUUGAUAGACCUUUCAAUUAAAGGAAAAUUUUUCAGGGUUUUCCCUGGUGAUUCAGUUGGUAAAGAGUCCGCCUGGACUACAGGAGACCCAGGUUCAGUUCCUGGGAGGGGAAGAUCCCCUGCAGAAGGGAAUGGCUACCCACUCCAGUGUUCUUGCCUGGAGAAUCCCAUGGACAGAGGAGCCUGGCAGGCUACAGUCCAUGGGGUCGCAAAGAGUCGGGCAUGACUUAGCAACUAAACCACCAAAAAGAAAUUAAUGAUCACACCGUAAGCGGCAAAAAUCAUGCAACAAUUUUUAUAGUAAGCACGUUUUCUAGUUAGGAUGAAAUAUAAUUGUUGGGCUUUUGCAAAUAGAUGUACUAUUUUUAAUUUAAUUCAUAAUCAAUCUGAUAUUAAAUCUUUGUUUUUAGGGAAUUUAUUCUUACUUUGAGAGAGUGAAAGUCAGCAUUUUAAGAGCCUAAAGGAUUCUUGAUUAGGAAGCUUACAGCAGAAGUUUAUUCGGUUGAGGGAAUAUCUCUACCAGCCUCAGCUCUGGCCAGUGUGUGUAAGGACCUGACUCCUCUAACACUUGGAGCUCCUAGAAGUUGAAUCUGUGUGUUACACCCCCUUGUGACCUAACUGGGUACCUCCUCAGAUGGACAUGGUUUGCUCUGACAUCCACACAUUCUUUGCUUCUACCCAGGGUGAGACCCAUCACGUUCUGCGAGGAGAGUUUUCGUAAAGCACCGUUCAAGUCUCAUGAAACAGUUCUUGGAAAACCGCAGUCAACCUCCAGCUGUUUAAGCAGUUUAUCGAUGGUCGACUGGCAAAACUAAAUGCAGGAAAGGGUUUCUCUGAUGCAUUUGAAGAAGAGAUCACUUCCGGUGGCUUUUGUGGAGGGAACUCGAAGUCAUACCAGCAAUGGGUGCAUACAGUCAAAAGGAGGUGCACUGUUCAACACAGCAAUGACCAAAGCAAGCCCUGCUGUACGAACAGCAUAUAAAUUUGUAAGUUCUCUUUUGAUGUUUAAGAAUUCUGUUGAUAAAAUUUUAUAACAUUUUCUUAGAUGAUACGCACUUA